rfam:Amphimedon queenslandica AMPQTscaffold_13282_Cont5218, whole genome shotgun sequence.
GCAUGUAUAAUUUAACUGGCAGAAUGGGUGAUUUCCAAUCACCUUAUGCGGGUUCGAUCCCUGCUACAUGCA